rnacentral:rRNA from 1 species
CACGGCGCACGGGUGCGUAACACGUGGGUAAUCUGCCCUCUGAUGGGGAAUAACCCGCCGAAAGGCGGGCUAAUACCGCAUAACAUUCCUUGGACUCCGGUUCGAGGAUUCAAAGGCGUAAGUCGUCGGAGGUGGAGCCCGCGCACGAUUAGCUAGUUGGUGAGGUAAUGGCUCACCAAGGCUAUGAUCGUUAGCUGGUCUGAGAGGAUGGCCAGCCACACUGGAACUGAGACACGGUCCAGACUCCUACGGGAGGCAGCAGUGGGGAAUCUUGCACAAUGGGCGAAAGCCUGAUGCAGCGACGCCGCGUGGGGGAUGAAGCUUCUCGGAGUGUAAACCCCUUUCGACCGGGACGAAUGCCCGUAAGGGACUGACGGUACCGGUAUAAGAAGCCCCGGCUAACUACGUGCCAGCAGCCGCGGUAAGACGUAGGGGGCCAGCGUUGUUCGGAAUUACUGGGUGUAAAGGGUUCGUAGGCGGUGUAGCAAGUCGGGAGUGAAAUCUCUGGGCUCAACUCAGGGGCUGCUUCCGAAACUGCUGUGCUAGAGUGUGGGAGAGGCGCGUGGAAUUGCAGGUGUAGCGGUGAAAUGCGUAGAUAUCUGCAGGAACACCCGUGGCGAAAGCGGCGCGCUGGACCACUACUGACGCUGAGGAACGAAAGCUAGGGGAGCAAACAGGAUUAGAUACCCUGGUAGUCCUAGCCCUAAACGAUCAGGACUUGGGGUGCCACCCGUUCGGGUGUCGUCCCGGAGCUAACGCGUUAAGUCCUGCACCUGGGGAGUACGGUCGCAAGACUGAAACUCAAAGGAAUUGACGGGGGCCCGCACAAGCGGUGGAACAUGUGGUUCAAUCCGA